GCCGAGGUGGCGGAAUUGGCAGACGCGCUAGGUUGAGGGCCUAGUGGACCUUCGGGUCCAUGGGGGUUCAAGUCCCCCCCUCGGCA
rnacentral:tRNA from 1 species